AGACGUCUACAUUAGUACCCGUGUAGUCCCAGCCGUAAACUAUGCUCGCUAGGUGUCAGGCAUGGCGCGACCGUGUCUGGUGCCGCAGGGAAGCCGUGAAGCGAGCCACCUGGGAAGUACGGCCGCAAGGCUGAAACUUAAAGGAAUUGGCGGGGGAGCACAACAACGGGUGGAGCCUGCGGUUUAAUUGGACUCAACGCCGGACAACUCACCGGGGACGACAGCAAUAUGUAGGCCAGGCUGAAGACCUUGCCUGAAUCGCUG
rnacentral:rRNA from 1 species